GAUGAACGCUGGCGGCGUGCCUAAUACAUGCAAGUCGAGCGAACGGACGAGAAGCUUGCUUUUCUGAUGUUAGCGGCGGACGGGUGAGUAACACGUGGAUAACCUACCUAUAAGACUGGGAUAACUUCGGGAAACCGGAGCUAAUACCGGAUAAUAUUUUGAACCGCAUGGUUCAAAAGUGAAAGACGGUCUUGCUGUCACUUAUAGAUGGAUCCGCGCUGCAUUAGCUAGUUGGUAAGGUAACGGCUUACCAAGGCAACGAUGCAUAGCCGACCUGAGAGGGUGGUCGGCCACCCUGGAACUGAGACGCGGUCCAGACUCCUACGGGAGGCAGCAGUAGGGAAUCUUCCGCAAAGGGCGGAGGACUGACGGAGCAACGACGCGUGAGUGAUGAAGGUCUUCGGAUCGUAAAGCUCUGUUAUUAGGGAAGAAGAUAUGUGUAAGUAACUGUGCACAUCUUGACGGUACCUAGUCAGAAAGCCACGGCUAACUACGUG
rnacentral:rRNA from 1 species